GUGGGUAGGUGGGGGGGUGCAGGACCGAGGAGACAAAGCUGGGCCUCGAGGAAGAACCGGGGCUCUGACGUCACCGCGGCCGCCUCGCUCGCCCCGGGUUUGCUGGCUCCCAGGCUGUCAGUGGUGGCAGCCUGGGCUGCGGGUCCCACGCUGCGGGUGCAUGUUGACGGGGUCACGCCUAACCCACUCGAGCAGAGGUUGUUGGAGUCUCCCAGGUGCGGAAUGUGUAGGGAAAAGGGACCAGUCAAAGAAACACACCCUGAGCAGAGCCAAAGAAACACCUGGAAAACUUUGGCAGCAUUGUGGGGUGGGGGGGUUAGGAGGAUGCGCUUCAUAACUGUACUGAUAAACACUAAGCAACACAAGUUGCCGGAGGACUAGACUUGCUCUCUGGUCCGGAAACCUGGCUGUUUUGCACUUGAGAGCAACGUGGAAACUAUCGAAACCCAAGGUAAUGGUUUAGGGAGUUCCUUUAGGUUUCCAGAAGUUGGAUCAGAUCUAAGUUUGCUGUUUUACGAGGUUUUGCUGAAGCCCUUAUGAUUAAUGAUAAAGCCAGAUAAACAAAGUCGGUGCAUGCACUUUAGAAAUAGAUCGGGUUGUUGGCACCAAGGACAGAAUUGAAGGAAUGUUGGUUCGACAUACUUUACAGGUAGAAAACGAAACCUAACCAAAGCGUGAAGGCAUGUGUGCAGCGACAUAAAUAGCAUCCCUAGGAGAAGAGAGAAUGGGGCAGUUGGUCAUAUGUGAAAUUGCGGCCAAAGGCCGUCCGUUUACCUGGAAAGGACCAAGGGAGACAGGAGACCCAAAAUUACCCCCAGCUAUCAUGGGAUUUCUGUGAAGCCUCCUUGUAGUUUGUUUUUUGUUAACUUCCUGUGCUUCACGGGCUAACCUCGAACUUUGAUCCCCCCCCUUCAUUCAUCUCAGGCAUGCCGGGGAAGGGUGAGUCACUACUCCUUGCUGAAAUUUCACAUUUAUUUAAAAACUAAACUUCCGGGCAGUGGUGGUACACAGCUUCAGUUCCAACACUUGGGAGGCAGAGGCAGGCGGAACUCUGUGAUUUCCGAGGCCAGCCUGAUCUACAAAGUUUACAGGACUUGUUACGCAGAGAAAUCUUGUCUCGAACUACACUCCCCCGCCCCACCCACACAAAAAAAGUUCAUAUACAAUUUCCUUCUAUCCCCUUCUGUACUAUGUUUGAUUUAAACAACUCAAGAAAAACAAAUUGGCCGGGCAGUGGUGGCGCACACCUUUUAGUCGGGGUGCUUAGAAGGCAGAGGCAGGCAGAUCUCCGAGUACCAGGCCAGCCUGCUCUGCAGAUCUACAGAGAGAAUUCCAGGACAGCCAUGGCUAGCUACACAGAGAAUCCCUGUUUUGAGGUGGGGAGGGAAAAAAAAAGUUUCUCCGAGUUAAUGAGCAAGAUGAAUUAAUUAAUUGCCUUUGUGGCUCAGCAAACUGUGACUUAACAGCCAGAUGGUCAACAGGGCAAUUCCUCUGUAAUACCAAACUAUAAAUCUCAUGACUACAAGUAGAAACACUGUAGUGUAUGAGUGUGUGCACAUGAGUGCAGGCGCCCCUUGGAGGACAGAGGACUAGGAUUCUCUGGUGUGGGUGUAUGUGAGUCACCAGACGUGGGUACAGAGAAUCAAACUUUCAAUAUCAGAUCCUGAUGGGGGUCUUUUGUCUGUUUGUUUUCAUUAUUUAGAGAACACUUUAUUUCUGUAAUCAAGCCCUCAUAGAUUAAAAACUUACAUAUUUAAUACAGUGUAGUAAUUCCUGUACUAAUAGAAAAAAAAAAUAGGCUUAACGUUUCAAGACCAGUAUUGCUGUUAUUGUGAUGCCAACUCAGCAUGGUAAAUUAGGAUACUUUUUUCCAAAUCUGGCAGCAUGCCUAACAUCUCCAAAGAUUCAAAUCAUAUAUGUAUGUAUACUGAUAUUAAAACAACAAAAGGCAGGCAUUGGUGGUGCAUGCCUUUAAUCCCAGCACUUGGGAGGCAGAGGCAGGGGGAAUCUCUGUGAGUUCAGGCCAGCGUGGUCCACAGAGUGAGUUCCAGGACAGCCAGGGCUGUUACACAGAGGAGCCCUGUCUCAAAAAAAAAAAAAAAAAACGGGGAAAAGUUAAAUUGAAGUGGUCUCUCAUAAACAUUUCACAAAACAAAGGAGUCAGAGAAUUGGCUCAGUGGGUAAUGCUGCCUGCCAAGCAAGACUGGGAACCCGAAUUCCGUCUCUGGAACCCACAUAAAGUGGGAAGAGAGAACCAACUCCAAAACGUCCUGACUUCCACUCACGAAUUCUGAGACAUCCCCCUAGAAAUAAUGAUACAUAAUAACGUUUUUUUUGUUUGUUUUUUGUUUUUGUUUUUUCGAGACAGGGUUUCUCUGUGGCUUUGGAGGCUGUCCUGGAACUAGCUCUUGUAGACCAGGCUGGCCUCAUAACAACGUUUUUUAAAGGGAAAGCCUGUCAACGCACGUGUUACUUGUGGGACCUGGUAGUUCAUACCAGUAAUCUCAUCACCUGGAGUCAGAAGCAAAGAGGAUCUCCACAAGUUAAAGACCAGCCAAGAUUCCAUACAAAAGACUCUAGCAAAAGAAGUUUAAAAAAUAAAACUCAUAAUGCCUUUGGCCAUUCGUUCGUUUGGUCGUUCUUUUGUAUGCAGAUAUACAUGCUUAGUGUGUUUUGUUUACCUAGCCACAAUAUGUUGGAUCUGGUUUCAGUCCUAUAGUGUAAACAACUCAGAAGACUUGAGACAGGAAGAUCUCAAAUUCAAGAACUGCCUGGACAAUUUACUGAGAACCCUACUGCAAAAUUUUAGUAAGAAGAUUUGAGGACACAGGGUUCAUAAUUUGGCAUGCAUGUGUGGCUGUAUGCCACGUACACGCAGCACCUGUGAAGGUCAAAGAGGGCAUCAGAUCCCCUAGGACUAGGGGUAUAGUGUUUGUGAGCUUCCAUUUGAAUGCUGGGAAUCAAACCCAGAUCCUCUGGAAGAGCAACCAUGGCUCUUAACUAUUUAGCCGACGCCUCUCCAGAGCCACAAACGGAAUUCUCGUCCAAAUUCAUCGGCUGAUUUGCAAUACUCUGAUAGGAAACUGUUUCAUCACUCAAGGGAGGAAAGUUGACAAAUUAGCGGAGCAAAACUGAAGUGGCAAAGGUUCCUUCAAGAAAGGACUCCAGAGAACCCUGAGUGAUACAGUGGACAUCAUCAUCUUUAGAGAGACUGAAAAGUCUUCAGAUUCUGCUAACUCUUUUGGACCCCAUACUCUGAGGUAUAUCUGUCAGUCCAGGACCACCUGCCUCCAAUAACAAAGCAGGGUCGAGUGACAGGCCAGACCCUGGUCAGUUCAGCCGACCGAGGAUUUGGACUCUGUGACACACAUUUAUACUUACCUCAUCCAACUGGAUGGUGCAGAAUGUGCGGUUGUUGUGGUUCAGGUGGAGAAUAUCAGCUUGCAACAGGCCUUAUACUCCAAAUUCCAGCCUCAGAUCCUGGCCUUCCUGGAUUUUACCAAACCUAAAUCAGUAUUGAAAAAAAAUACGCAGAGAGAAACUUUGCCCGUGUGACAACCUGGGAUAUGACUGCCAGCAGCUGCGAUGAGAGUUAUGAGCAGUGGGUUAUGGAGACCAAACCUAUCAAGUCUGUGUCCACUAUGGCGCCUAAUCUGAACGUGGAUUUUGACACUCCCCUGGACUAGAAGAAAAAACAAACAAACCAAAAGCAUAAAGACAAGCAGAAUGUGAGGAGUCAAUAGAGGGCACAGCGGUUCAGCUUCCUCACCUACUCUGCCCGUGGGAAGAAGGAUUGGAUGGGAAGAAGAAAGACUCAGAUUCAUCCCAUUCCCAGGCAAGCUUGUAGACCCUACAAGAGGAAUCUCUCAAUUGCAAAUUUAACCUUGGUAAGAUCGCUUCCAUCCUAACUUUAUGUCCUAGUCUGUGUCUGGACAUGAGGUGGUCAUUGAAUUCGAGAGCUUACUUCAGUCUUGUGUAACCUGCACAAGACACAGGGUCACGCCGACAAGAGCAAGUCGACAUUCCAACAGGCAGCAUUAAUUUGACCCGGUGAGUUACAAAAAGAAAAAAAAAAAGAAAGGGACAUGAAAUUGGAAGGGGAUGUUUGAGGUGGGUAAGACCAAGACAUGCUGUUUACAUAUAUGAAAAUGUCAAAGAGUAAAAGGUAAUCCUGACUUUAAAAAAAA